rnacentral:rRNA from 1 species
UACGUAGGGGGCUAGCGUUGUCCGGAAUCAUUGGGCGUAAAGAGCGUGUAGGCGGCCCGGUAAGUCCGCUGUGAAAGUCGGGGGCUCAACCCUCGAAAGCCGGUGGAUACUGUCGGGCUAGAGUGCGGAAGAGGCGAGUGGAAUUCCUGGUGUAGCGGUGAAAUGCGCAGAUAUCAGGAAGAACACCCGGUGGCGAAGGCGGUUCUCUGGGACGGUACUGACGCUGAGACGCGAAAGCGUGGGGAGCGAACAGG